CCUGCCGCGGCCAAGCCGGGCCUGACGUCCGGUUGACCCCUCCUCCUCCCUGUUCGGGCCCCACACAGGCUCCGCCUCUGGUUUCUUGCAUCACGUUUAGGUCCCGCUUCGAUUGGUCGGGGGACCGACGCAGCCCUGCUUCCGCUGGCCCAGCUUGUGCAAGCUUUUGAAGAGGCACGCCAGAGGGGAGGAAAUGAAGAUCCAGUGCCACAGAGGAGAGUUGAAGGCGAGAGAGUGCGGAAGAAGGGGAAAGGAAGUCGCAGCUCUCAUCCAAAAGCUGGAACCUUUGCUCCCCUCCUCACAUGGGGCACAGUGAGAGGAGGCAGGGUACAAAUUUACAGCCAGACCAAAUUUAUUCAGAGAAACUAAAUCUGCACAGGUGGCUGGCGGUCAGUGUGCACAUUGAUGGAACACAUGGCGAGAGGCCCCAACCCCAGGGGCGGGCCUUCUUGUAUCCUAGGAGCGUGGGGGUGGGGAUAAGGGGUGGCAGGCAGAAGUGAAUUCCUCCAUACUGGUCUUUAAGUGCCCAAGAGCCUUCAAAUAUGGGGAAGAAUGUGGGGUGGUGUGUAACCACAAUAGGGUGUGAGACCCAAUUGAGAUGCAGGGACUAGGCAUAAAUUCCAAUGUUCUCUGUCUUUGGGAAGUGAGUGAGAAUGGCUGAAGCUUAUGUCUUGGUUCCAUCGGAAAUGGCAGCCUUCAUUUAGGAAAAGGCAGACGCCCCCUUUCUGAAGUUAGUUGGUCAAGUCCCCUCCUGUUCUGCAGGACCGUGGCUGCUACUGAGUCUCCAUGAUUUUGGAGAGCCACUGAUGACUUAGCUGCAGAUAAUUUGCUGCAGAAGGUGGCUGAUGAAGCAGUUCUCACUCUGGUACUCACUCCAGUUGUUAU